GACGAACGCUGGCGGCGUGCUUAACACAUGCAAGUCGAACGAAGUGGCGAACGGGUGAGUAAUACGUUGGUAACCUGCCCUCCUUUUUGGGAUAAGCCUUGGAAACGGGGUCUAAUACCGAAUAAAGGGGGAUGGGCUCGCGGCCUAUCAGCUUGUUGGUGGGGUGAUGGCCUACCAAGGCGGUGACGGGUGGCCGGCCUGAGAGGGUGACCGGCGACAUAGGGAAUGCGAUACGGCCCAGACUCCUACGGGAAGCAGCAGGGGGGAAUAUUGCACAAUGGGCGAAAGCCUGAUGCAGCGACGCGGCGUGGGGGAUGAAGGCUUGCGUGUUGUAAACCUCUUUCGCAAGCGAAAGGGUAGGUGGAGAAGAAGCGCCGGCUAACUACGUGCCAGCAGCCGCGGUAAUAC
rnacentral:rRNA from 1 species